GGGGAUGUUUCGGAUUCGACCACGGUCAUCGGUGAGAUAAGAAGCACGCCGCAGGCUCGGCUGCGUUAAAAACGGAAAUUAAAAUUAAACGCAAAAGAAUCUAAAUCCGUUAACGCUCCCGCGUUAGCAUUCGCUGCUUAAUUAUAGCGGCAUGUCGACCUUAUGCGUCUGUCCGUAAGCAAUCGGCAUCAUACAGGCAGAAAAACACACAAUCGACGGUUAUACUUUGUGUGAAUAAAUAACCUUUUCAAGGGUGAGGCCUGUUUGCGGGCGCGCCGGCGAGAAACUUAAUCGCAAACUAAGCGUGUAGAAGGUGUCAGGCCGAGGCUGUGAUACGGGGGUUCGAGUCCCCCCAUCUCCACCA
rnacentral:tmRNA from 2 species